rnacentral:rRNA from 1 species
AAGUCGUAACAAGGUUUCCGUAGGUGAACCUGCGGAAGGAUCAUUACAGGAGAGGCCCCCCCGGGGCCGAACCCAACCCCGAGAACCGCACCCUGUUGCCUCGACGGGCCCGCGCGCGACCGCGGUCGGCCCAGGCCUUCCAGCGCCCGUCGAAGGACGAACAAACCCCGUACGAGACUGUNCGANGAGANACAAAACGAACAAAACUUUCAACAACGGAUCUCUUGGUUCUGGCAUCGAUGAAGAACGCAGCAAAAUGCGAUAAGUAAUGUGAAUUGCAGAAUUCAGUGAAUCAUCGAAUCUUUGAACGCACAUUGCGCCCCCCGGCAUUCCGAGGGGCAUGCCUGUUCGAGCGUCACCACUCAAUCGGACCACGUCCGGUGUUGGGCCUCGCCUCCGGGCGGGCCUCGAAACCCGUGGCGAGUCCCCCGGGCGUCCAGCGCAGCGAAAGACCGACGCUCGACGCCCGGGACGACGCGCCGGAACCACUCAUGACCUCGGAUCAGGUAGGGAUACCCGCUGAACUUAAGCAUAUCAAUAAGCGGAGGAAAAGAAACCAACCGGGAUUGCCUCAGUAACGGCGAGUGAAGCGGCAACAGCUCAAAUUUGAAGUCCGGCUCCCCCGGGGGCCCGAGUUGUGAUUUGCAGAGGGCGCCUCGGGCGCGGUCGGGGCGCAAGUUCCCUGGAACGGGACGUCGCAGAGGGUGAGAGCCCCGUACGUCGCCCGCGACUCGCGCCCGCGUGAGGCCCCUUCGAAGAGUCGAGUUGUUUGGGAAUGCAGCUCCAAGCGGGUGGUAAAUUUCAUCCAAGGCUAAAUACCGGCCAGAGACCGAUAGCGCACAAGUAGAGUGAUCGAAAGAUGAAAAGCACUUUGGAAAGAGAGUUAAACAGUACGUGAAAUUGUUGAAAGGGAAGCGCUCCCGAUCAGACUCGCCCGGGGCCCAUCAGCCGGCGUUAUCGCCGGUGCACUGGGCCUCGGUCGGGCCAGCGUCGGUCGGGGCGGCGGGACGAAGCCCCGGGGAACGUGGCCCCCUUCGGGGGGUGUUACAGCCCCGGGUGCGACGCCGCCAGCCCCGACCGAGGACCGCGCUCAGGCUAGGACGCUGGCGUAAUGGUCGGGAGCGACC